UUUAUUAAAACAUAAAUAAAUAAAAUAAAAUAAAAUUGGAACGAUACAGAGAAGAUUAGCAUGGCCCCUACACAAGGAUGACGCACAAAUUCAUGAAGAGUUCCAUAUUUUU
ensembl:snRNA U6 U6 spliceosomal RNA